GUAGGGAAUAUUGCACAAUGGGCGAAAGCCUGAUGCAGCAACGCCGCGUGCGCGAUGAAGGCCUUCGGGUCGUAAAGCGCUUUUCGGGGAGAUGAGGAAGGACAGUAUCCCCGGAAUAAGGCUCGGCUAACUACGUGCCAGCAGCCGCGGUAAAACGUAGGAGCCAAGCGUUAUCCGAAUUCACUGGGCGUAAAGCGCGUGCAGGCGGCAUGAUAAGUUGGAUGUGAAAUCUCCUGGCUCAACUGGGAGGGGACGUUCAAUACUGUCAAGCUAGAGGACGGCAGAGGGAGGUGGAAUUCCCGGUGUAGUGGUGAAAUGCGUAGAUAUCGGGAGGAACACCAGUGGCGAAAGCGGCCUUCUGGGCCGAUCCUGACGCUCAGACGCGAAAGCUAGGGGAGCGAACGGGAUUAGAAACCCGUGUAGUCC
rnacentral:rRNA from 1 species